rnacentral:misc_RNA from 1 species
GAAAUGCGAUAAGUAAUGUGAAUUGCAGAAUUCAGUGAAUCAUCGAAUCUAUGAACGCACAUUGCGCCCGCCAGUAUUCUGGCGGGCAUGCCUGUCCGAGCGUCAUUUCAACCAUCAAGCCCCCGGGCUUGUGUUGGGGACCUGCGGCUGCCCGCAGGCCCUGAAAACCAGUGGCGGGCUCGCUGUCACACCGAGCGUAGUAGCAAUCACCUCGCUCAGGGCGUGCUGCGGGUUCCGGCCGUUAAACAGCCUUACAAAACCCAAGGUUGACCUCGGAUCAGGUAGGAAUACCCGCUGAACUUAAGC